rnacentral:sRNA from 1 species
AGGACUUCUCAUCUUAUUUAUCAGAUGGACUACAUUUGUCUCCAAAGGGGAAUGAAUUUUUGUUCUCGCAUCUCUGGCCUUUGAUAGAGAAAAAGGUCUCUUCUCUACCUUUGCUGCUUCCUUACUGGCGGGAUGUAGCAGAAGCAAAACCUGAAUUAAGUCUGCUGGGAGAUGGAGACCAUUAGCCAAUCACAGGAGACCCAAAUCUGCUUGUUAUCUACAGAACUCAAAGUUGUCAAUAUGUAGAGUAAAUGCAGCCCAUCCAGAAUCCUGGAGCAAUAAAGUAAGAAGUAAUUCAAA